rnacentral:rRNA from 1 species
GGACUGAGACACGGCCCAGACUCCUACGGGAGGCAGCAGUGGGGAAUAUUGCGCAAUGGGGGCAACCCUGACGCAGCAACGCCGCGUGCAGGAAGAAGGUCUUCGGAUUGUAAACUGUUGUCGCAAGGGAAGAAGACAGUGACGGUACCUUGUGAGAAAGUCACGGCUAACUACGUGCCAGCAGCCGCGGUAAUACGUAGGUGACAAGCGUUGUCCGGAUUUACUGGGUGUAAAGGGCGCGUAGGCGGACUGUCAAGUCAGUCGUGAAAUACCGGGGCUUAACCCCGGGGCUGCGAUUGAAACUGACAGCCUUGAGUAUCGGAGAGGAAAGCGGAAUUCCUAGUGUAGCGGUGAAAUGCGUAGAUAUUAGGAGGAACACCAGUGGCGAAGGCGGCUUUCUGGACGACAACUGACGCUGAGGCGCGAAAGUGUGGGGAGCAAACAGGAUUAGAUACCCUGGUAGUCCACACCGUAAACGAUGGAUACUAGGUGUAGGAGGUAUCGACCCCUUCUGUGCCGCAGUUAACACAAUAAGUAUCCCACCUGGGGAGUACGACCGCAAGGUUGAAACUCAAAGGGAUUGACGGGGGCCCGCACAAGCAGUGGAGUAUGUGGUUUAAUUCGAAGCAACGCGAAGAACCUUACCUGGGCUUGACAUCCCUGGAAUCGAGUAGAGAUACUUGAGUGCCUUCGGGAAUCAGGUGACAGGUGGUGCAUGGUUGUCGUCAGCUCGUGUCGUGAGAUGUUGGGUUAAGUCCCGCAACGAGCGCAACCCCUAUUGUCAGUUGCCAUCAUUAAGUUGGGCACUCUGGCGAGACUGCCGGUGACAAAUCGGAGGAAGGUGGGGACGACGUCAAAUCAUCAUGCCCCUUAUGCCCAGGGCUACACACGUACUACAAUGGCCGAUAACAAAGUGCAGCGAAACCGUGAGGUGGAGCGAAUCACAAAACUCGGUCUCAGUUCAGAUUGCAGGCUGCAACUCGCCUGCAUGAAGUUGGAAUUGCUAGUAAUCGCGGAUCAGAAUGCCGCGGUGAAUACGUUCCCGGGCCUUGUACACACCGCCCGUCACACCAUGAGAGUCGAUAACACCCGAAGCCUGUGAGCUAACCUAUUAGGAGGCAGCAGUCGAAGGUGGGGUUGAUGAUUGGGGUGAAGUCGUAACAAGGUAGCCGUACUAGU